UACGUAGGUGGCAAGCGUUAUCCGGAUUUACUGGGUGUAAAGGGCGUGUAGGCGGGAGAGCAAGUCAGACGUGAAAUUCCAGGGCUCAACCCUGGAACUGCGUUUGAAACUGUUCUUCUUGAGUGAUGGAGAGGCAGGCGGAAUUCCGUGUGUAGCGGUGAAAUGCGUAGAUAUGAGGAGGAACACCAGUGGCGAAGGCGGUCUGCUGGACAGCAACUGACGCUGAGGCGCGAAAGCGUGGGGAGCAAACAGG
rnacentral:rRNA from 1 species